AAAGUUCCCUUCGGGGAGCAAGUAGAGUGGCGCACGGGUGAGUAACACGUAGGUAAUCUACCUUUGGAUUGGGAAUAACACCGAGAAAUCGGUGCUAAUACCGAAUAAUGCAGCGGCACCUAAUGGUGACAGUUGUUAAAGCGGGGGAUCGCAAGACCUCGCGUCUAAAGAGGAGCCUGCGGCGGAUUAGCUAGUUGGUAAGGUAACGGCUUACCAAGGCGAUGAUCCGUAGCCGGCCUGAGAGGGCGGUCGGCCACACUGACACUGACAUACGGGUCAGACUCCUACGGGAGGCAGCAGUCGGGAAUUUUGGGCAAUGGGCGAAAGCCUGACCCAGCAACGCCGCGUGAAGGAUGAAAUCCCUCGGGAUGUAAACUUCGCAAGAACGGGAAGAAUAAGUCGGUGCUAACACCAUCGGCGAUGACGGUACCGUUUGUAAGCUCCGGCUAACUCCGUGCCAGCAGCCGCGGUAAUACGGGGGGAGCAAGCGUUGUUCGGAUUUACUGGGCGUAAAGGGCGCGUAGGCGGCCACCGCAAGUCGACUGUGAAAUCUCCGGGCUUAACUCGGAAAGGUCAGCCGAUACUGCGGGGCUAGAGUGCAGAAGGGGCAACUGGAAUUCUCGGUGUAGCGGUGAAAUGCGUAGAUAUCGAGAGGAACACCUGCGGCGAAGGCGGGUUGCUGGGCUGACACUGACGCUGAUUGUGCGAAAGCUAGGGGAGCGAACGGGAUUAGAUACCCCGGUAGUCCUAGCCUUAAACGAUGAAUGCUUGGUGUCUGGGGUUUUAUAGUCCCCGGGUGCCGUCGCUAACGCUUUAAGCAUUCCGCCUGGGGAGUACGGUCGCAAGACUG
rnacentral:rRNA from 1 species